UUCACCAAAUAUUUUAAAACACAAAUUCACAAAUAAUAAAAUAAAUGUUUGCCACGGCCUGUUAAUAUUUAUGAAGACCUCUUCAUGGAUUGGAUUUAAGCAACCUAUUGUGUAAUAUCCUCGCCAUUCUUGAUGUUGAGAAGAUCUAUAAGUCUUUUACGUUUCAUCUGAGUGUUGUGGUUUUUCAUUAUGUUAAAAAUAAGACUUUGUUAGUUCAAGUGUCUCUAUAACUAUGAAGAAGAACAAAAGAAAAUGCUUUGAGUGUGGUUCUUCGCCUGCCGAUGAUCCAGAGAAGACCCUACAGAGAUUACCGAAACUUGAUUCUACAAAUUUAGUCUCCGUAAUGUCCAGAUAAUCAAUGAUUAGACCAUUGGACUUUUAGAAUAAAUUUUACAUUGAACUAUGAAUGGUUUGUCAUCUACAUUUUUAAAAAAGACGAGAUGUUUUGCCUGUGAGAAGAAGAGAGAGAGAGAAUAAGAAGGUGUAGCAAAAUAGAAGAUGAAGGUCUAGCUGUGCCAGUGCUGAGCCACGCAGUUGCUACUGGCAUGUUUGCAAAAUAGCACAAGGUGUAGCAAAAUAGAAGAUGAAGGUCUAGCUGUGCCAGUGCU
rnacentral:lncRNA from 1 species